rnacentral:rRNA from 1 species
UACAGAGGGGGCAAGCGUUAUUCGGAAUUAUUGGGCGUAAAGGGCGCGUAGGCGGCCAGGCAAGUGGAAGGUGAAAUCCCUCGGCUUAACCGAGGAACUGCCCUCCAAACUGCUUGGCUUGAGACCGGGAGAGGUGAGUGGAAUUCCCAGUGUAGCGGUGAAAUGCGUAGAUAUUGGGAAGAACACCGGUGGCGAAGGCGGCUCACUGGCUCGUAACUGACGCUCAGGCGCGACAGCGUGGGGAUCAAACAGG